rnacentral:rRNA from 1 species
AACCAACAGGGAUUGCCUUAGUAGCGGCGAGUGAAGCGGCAAAAGCUCAAAUUUGAAAUCUGGCUCUUUCAGAGUCCGAGUUGUAAUUUGAAGAAGGUAUCUUUGGGUCUGGCUCUUGUCUAUGUUUCUUGGAACAGAACGUCACAGAGGGCGAGAAUCCCGUGCGAUGAGAUGAUCCAGGCCUAUGUAAAGUUCCUUCGAAGAGUCGAGUUGUUUGGGAAUGCAGCUCUAAGUGGGUGGUAAAUUCCAUCUAAAGCUAAAUAUUGGCGAGAGACCGAUAGCGAACAAGUACAGUGAUGGAAAGAUGAAAAGAACUUUGAAAAGAGAGUGAAAAAGUACGUGAAAUUGUUGAAAGGGAAGGGCUUGAGAUCAGACUUGGUAUUUUGUAUGUUACUUCUUCGGGGGUGGCCUCUACAGUUUAUCGGGCCAGCAUCAGUUUGGGCGGUAGGAGAAUUGCGUUGGAAUGUGGCACGGCUUCGGUUGUGUGUUAUAGCCUUCGUCGAUACUGCCAGCCUAGACUGAGGACUGCGGUUUAUACCUAGGAUGUUGGCAUAAUGAUCUUAAGUCGC